CAAACACGCCACUUUCCUCCCUGCGUGCAGAUCAGCAGCUGCACUGCUGUUCUUCUCCUCCUCCAUUUUCCACUCCAAAAACUUCAUUUCAUCAUAACUUUUUCAUCGCGCAAGGUCGGAGCCUAUAGAUUCGUAUCGGCCAAUACCGCCGGAAUUUGGUCUCCGCCCAAGAGAGAAAGUUGAUCCUCUCCCGAUGAUCUUUCUAGCUAUCUCUUCAAUUUUCUCUGUCAGAAUCUCUGCAGAAAAAAAAGUUGAUUUUCUUUUUAGUUUUUGGUUUGUGGGUUUUUAAUUUUAUGAUUGUUUGUGCAGGUAAAGGAAGAAGCCAGAAGCACUGAAGGACUUGAUAGGAGCUCCCUUCAUUGGGUUAGAGAGUCCCCAGUUUCAGUCGACCGGGAAAAGAUUAGCAAAGGGAUUGUUAUUUCAACAUUGCUGAUUUGCUUUGCUGUGAGAGCAAAAUGGUCACGCGUGGUCUUCACCGACUCAAUUUCAUUUAUGCACAGUUUUCUUCGUUCUCGAUGUUUUGUCUCGCUUUGUGCUUUUGGUUAUCUUGAAUUAUGUGCAUUUUGUCUUUGUUAUGAUGGUGACCGGUGGAACAUACAACUUUUGCAGUAUGAUUUUGGGGGAAGAAAGGAUUUGGUUAAAUUUGUGAAGACAGUAGCAGAAGCUGGCCUGUAUGUGCACCUUCGAAUUGGUCCAUAUGUGUGCGCAUAGUGGAACUACGGUGGCUUUCCUCUUUGGUUGCAUUUCAUACCCGGAAUUCGGUUGCGAACGGACAAUGAGCCGUUCAAGGCAGAAAUGCAGCGGUUCACGAAAAAAAUUGUUGAUAUGAUGAAGGAGAAGCUUUAUGCAUCUCAGGGAGGACCCAUCAUUUUAUCCCAGAUUGAAAACGAGUAUGGAAACAUUGAUGAGCCAAAAUGUGGUACAAAAUGAUGGUUACGAAAAUGCCUACUUUUCUCAUCAAGAUCUUUUAACCGAGUAGGCACAAUCAGUGACCGAAGCUCUCUAUAACGACUUGGUCAUCGACCUGCUUUUAAACGUUCAUAUACAAUGUAAAAGCAUCAAAUUUAUUCUGAAUGCAACUUAGGAUUGUAGCUUUUACUUAGCAGGUGGAAAAGUUGCGUGUUAAAGUGGCAAACCCAUCACUGAUAUGUUCAUAGCAUGCUAAUUUUUGAAAGUUGUUUAUUUCUUUUAUGAAAAGGGGACCAUCAUGAUAGUUCACUAUUUCGAUAGCUGGGAAGACUUAUAGAGGGUGUGCCAACUCGUCGGCCGAGCUCGGUUGGGGAGUAAAAUAUGUUGAUGUUGUGUUGUUGACUUCUCGAUUUUACGACCACAGUUGAGGAAGGAACACGUCUCAACGUUUGGGUUAUAGAGUCUGAAGACAAGGCUACUAGUCUUGCGAAGUUCAUAGAUCGUUGGUGCCGGGUUCGGUCACGGUGAUUAUAUUUGUAAGAGUAUAAGCACGUCGAACUGACACCAAAUUAUACGGACACAAAUACUCGAACGAAAUGUAUGUCUUGAUGGUAAAUGUGGUUUGGUCGUCAGAAUGUCGAACUCUAAAACUUACUUGUAAAUAUCCAAUCAUAAACAACUCGGCGUUCAAUAUGCUGAGCCCAGUAACUUAUAACA